GCAUGUUGGCAUAUGGCUCCUCACAAGUCAAGAUCUCCCACAUUGCAAUACCAAAUGAGUACACAUCGACCUUCUCAGAGACUCGAUUGCUGCUGCCAUCAAGUAAUUCUGGUGCCAUCCAUGGGAGGGUUCCACGCACCCCACCAGACACUAGCGUAUUGUGUUUAAUUCUUGACAAUCCAAAAUCUCCAACCUUGCAUAUGGGUCGUUGUGGAUCCCUCAAAUUCACGAGCAAAUUGUCGCACUUCAAAUCAAAAUGAACA
rnacentral:misc_RNA from 1 species